rnacentral:rRNA from 1 species
UACGGAGGGUGCAAGCGUUAUCCGGAUUCACUGGGUUUAAAGGGUGCGUAGGUGGGCUAGUAAGUCAGUGGUGAAAUCUCCGGGCUUAACCCGGAAACUGCCAUUGAUACUAUUAGUCUUGAAUACCAUGGAGGUGAGCGGAAUAUGUCAUGUAGCGGUGAAAUGCUUAGAUAUGACAUAGAACACCAAUUGCGAAGGCAGCUCGCUACGCGGUUAUUGACGCUGAGGCACGAAAGCGUGGGGAUCAAACAGG